rnacentral:rRNA from 1 species
AUACGGAGGAUGCAAGCGUUAUCCGGAUUUAUUGGGUUUAAAGGGUGCGUAGGCGGUUUGCUAAGCGGGAGGUGAAAUGCCGGCGCUCAACGUCGGAAGUGCCUCCCGAACUGGUGGACUUGAAUGACUCUGCCGUGGGAGGAAUGUGUAGUGUAGCGGUGAAAUGCUUAGAGAUUACACAGAACACCGAUUGCGAAGGCAUCUCACGAAGGGUUGAUUGACGCUGAGGCACGAAAGCGUGGGGAUCAAACAGGAUUAGAUACCCUGGUAGUCCACGCAGUAAACGAUGAUGGCUAACCGCUGGGCUUAUCAGUUCAGUGGCCAAGCGAAAGCGAUAAGCCAUCCACCUGGGGAGUACGACCGCAAGGCUGAAACUCAAAUGAAUUGACGGGG